rfam:Brassica napus, WGS project CCCW01000000 data, contig: 22788
CCCGCUGAGUUUAAGCAUAUCAAUAAGCGGAGGAAAAGAAACUAACAAGGAUUCCCUUAGUAACGGCGAGCGAACUGGGAAGAUCCCAGCCUGAAAAUCGGACGUCUUUGGCGUUCGAAUUGUAGUCUGGAGAAGCGUCCUCAGCGACGGACCGGGCCCAUGUUCCCUGGAAAGGGGCGGCAGAGAGGGUGAGAGCCCCGUCGUGCCCGGACCCUGUCGCACCAUGAGGCGCUAUCUACGAGUCGGGUUGUUUGGGAAUGCAGCCCCAAUCGGGCGGUAAAUUCUGUCCAAGGCUAAAUAUGGUGAGAGACCGAUCGCGAACAAGUACCGCAAGGUAAAGAUGAAAAGGACUUUGAGAAGAGAGUCAACGAGUGCUUGAAAUUGUCGGGAGGGAAGCGGAUGGGGGCCGGCGAUUCGUCCUGGUCGGAUGCAGAACAGAGCAAUCGAGUCCGCCGAUCGAUUCAGAGCAUGGACCUACGCGGAUUAAGGUGGUGACCUAAGCCCAGGCUUUUGUUACGCCCGCGGAAACGUUGCUGCCUUGAUCGUGGUCUGCAGCACGCGCCUCACGGCGUGCCUCGGCAUCUGCGUGCUCAGGGCAUCGGCCUGUGGGCUCCCCAUUCGACCCGUCUUGAAACACGG